UAGAUUUUCUGGGAGGGAAGCCGAGAGAAAGCAAAAGAGAACCAAAAAUUGGGUGUGAUUUGUCCCUCUAGGUCUUCCGCUUAAACGCUAUAAAUGGAGUUGUUAACAUCCUGAGUUGCUCACAAAGUUCUACGCAUCAUCCCGAACCGAAGGUGCAGAAGCGUUUAGGUUUGGCAUAUCCUGCUACCCCUAUGGAUCAUUUGGCUGCUUCAAACAUCGGACUAAGACUUGGAGAUCCCAUUUUCCGGGGACAACUACGUAGCAUACGACUGGAGGAACGAGUGGCUCAGAAUGGGAGGAUGCCAAUUAUCGUUAAUGAACAAUCUGGUGUACUUGUAAAGAACAUGGAUGUCAUUUGGAUGGUGAAUGUGAUACUGUUCUUCAUGCUUUCGCUCCUUUGGGAUACAAGUCAUGGACAAAAAUUCCUCUCCAAGACAGGGAGAUGUUAAUCGAACAAUUAAAGGAUAAUUUCAUGUUAGACACCACCAGACCAUCUGUUGAGAGAUAUCUGAAUUAUAGUAUGUCAAAGGGAUAUGCCAAUUUCAAGCAUGAGAUGUUGAUGCAUUUUAGAAACUAUGCAACUAUUGAAGAAGCCGUGGAAAUCCUUUUAGGAACAUCUCACCUGCAAAUAGGUCAAGUUUUUCUGUGACCUCUUUGUUAUGGAGAGUAUAGAGAAUAUUAAGGUGACGUAACUAGUUACUGUACUUUCGAAGAAACAGGUGAUGUAUAUAUUUUAAUCCUUUUGCAGGUACUAACUUCAAUGCUUUUCUUAAAUUUUGGAAACGCAAUAAUCGUAUCGAGAAUUUUAAGGCCUCAAGGGAUUCAUUUUCAAGUUCAAGGGACGGCAAAGGCUUCAAGGGAAUAUGGUACGGGAUGACAGAAUCAAGCUAUAUAUAGAGAAAAUGUAACAAACUAAGGGAGUUAAUGCAACUUUCAGACAACAUGCACUCAAUAUGGUUCUUGAUCCAGUUGUUGCUCCGACCAAUGAAGAUCCAGAAGCUGUUUGGUGCUUAGUUUUAUGUUGCUCAUUGUUUUUAAUAACUUUAGUAUUAGCUUUCUUUAGUUUUUUUUAGUAUUUCAGAAGGGUUGUCUUUUGAAUAGUUCAAUUAGCAGCCAUGAGUGUCGUUACUGCUCAAGUUGUUGGUAUAAUAUUUUUUCUAAAUGGUUUUCCGUUCUAAUAUUAUUUUCAUAUUUUAUA